GCCGGUCCUCGGUAGUGGCUUCCGGGAAGAGUCCCGGGGGCUUCGAUCGAAGACCGGC
rfam:Amycolatopsis mediterranei S699, complete genome.